rnacentral:rRNA from 1 species
ACGGGUGAGUAACGCGUGGGAAUCUACCCUUGACUACGGAAUAACGCAGGGAAACUUGUGCUAAUACCGUAUGUGUCCUUCGGGAGAAAGAUUUAUCGGUCAAGGAUGAGCCCGCGUUGGAUUAGCUAGUUGGUGGGGUAAAGGCCUACCAAGGCGACGAUCCAUAGCUGGUCUGAGAGGAUGAUCAGCCACAUUGGGACUGAGACACGGCCCAAACUCCUACGGGAGGCAGCAGUGGGGAAUAUUGGACAAUGGGCGCAAGCCUGAUCCAGCCAUGCCGCGUGAGUGAUGAAGGCCCUAGGGUUGUAAAGCUCUUUCACCGGA